AAAGAGUUUAGGAUAAUUUAAACCAUAGACCUUCAAAGUCUAAAAAAAAGGUGCAAGCCCUCUAACUCUUG
rnacentral:tRNA from 1 species